rnacentral:rRNA from 1 species
GUUAAGCGACUAAGCGUACACGGUGGAUGCCCUGGCAGUCAGAGGCGAUGAAGGACGUGCUAAUCUGCGAUAAGCGUCGGUAAGGUGAUAUGAACCGUUAUAACCGGCGAUUUCCGAAUGGGGAAACCCAGUGUGAUUCGUCACACUAUCAUUAACUGAAUCCAUAGGUUAAUGAGGCGAACCGGGGGAACUGAAACAUCUAAGUACCCCGAGGAAAAGAAAUCAACCGAGAUUCCCCCAGUAGCGGCGAGCGAACGGGGAGCAGCCCAGAGCCUGAAUCAGUGUGUGUGUUAGUGGAAGCGUCUGGAAAGGCGUGCGAUACAGGGUGACAGCCCCGUACACAAAAAUGCACAUACUGUGAGCUCGAUGAGUAGGGCGGGACACGUGGUAUCCUGUCUGAAUAUGGGGGGACCAUCCUCCAAGGCUAAAUACUCCUGACUGACCGAUAGUGAACCAGUACCGUGAGGGAAAGGCGAAAAGAACCCCGGCGAGGGGAGUGAAAAAGAACCUGAAACCGUGUACGUACAAGCAGUGGGAGCACGCUUAGGCGUGUGACUGCGUACCUUUUGUAUAAUGGGUCAGCGACUUAUAUUCUGUAGCAAGGUUAACCGAAUAGGGGAGCCGAAGGGAAACCGAGUCUUAACUGGGCGUUAAGUUGCAGGGUAUAGACCCGAAACCCGGUGAUCUAGCCAUGGGCAGGUUGAAGGUUGGGUAACACUAACUGGAGGACCGAACCGACUAAUGUUGAAAAAUUAGCGGAUGACUUGUGGCUGGGGGUGAAAGGCCAAUCAAACCGGGAGAUAGCUGGUUCUCCCCGAAAGCUAUUUAGGUAGCGCCUCGUGAAUUCAUCUCCGGGGGUAGAGCACUGUUUCGGCAAGGGGGUCAUCCCGACUUACCAACCCGAUGCAAACUGCGAAUACCGGAGAAUGUUAUCACGGGAGACACACGGCGGGUGCUAACGUCCGUCGUGAAGAGGGAAACAACCCAGACCGCCAGCUAAGGUCCCAAAGUCAUGGUUAAGUGGGAAACGAUGUGGGAAGGCCCAGACAGCCAGGAUGUUGGCUUAGAAGCAGCCAUCAUUUAAAGAAAGCGUAAUAGCUCACUGGUCGAGUCGGCCUGCGCGGAAGAUGUAACGGGGCUAAACCAUGCACCGAAGCUGCGGCAGCGACGCUUAUGCGUUGUUGGGUAGGGGAGCGUUCUGUAAGCCUGUGAAGGUGUACUGUGAGGUAUGCUGGAGGUAUCAGAAGUGCGAAUGCUGACAUAAGUAACGAUAAAGCGGGUGAAAAGCCCGCUCGCCGGAAGACCAAGGGUUCCUGUCCAACGUUAAUCGGGGCAGGGUGAGUCGACCCCUAAGGCGAGGCCGAAAGGCGUAGUCGAUGGGAAACAGGUUAAUAUUCCUGUACUUGGUGUUACUGCGAAGGGGGGACGGAGAAGGCUAUGUUGGCCGGGCGACGGUUGUCCCGGUUUAAGCGUGUAGGCUGGUUUUCCAGGCAAAUCCGGAAAAUCAAGGCCGAGGCGUGAUGACGAGGCACUACGGUGCUGAAGCAACAAAUGCCCUGCUUCCAGGAAAAGCCUCUAAGCAUCAGGUAACAUCAAAUCGUACCCCAAACCGACACAGGUGGUCAGGUAGAGAAUACCAAGGCGCUUGAGAGAACUCGGGUGAAGGAACUAGGCAAAAUGGUGCCGUAACUUCGGGAGAAGGCACGCUGAUACGUAGGUGAAGCGACUUGCUCGUGGAGCUGAAAUCAGUCGAAGAUACCAGCUGGCUGCAACUGUUUAUUAAAAACACAGCACUGUGCAAACACGAAAGUGGACGUAUACGGUGUGACGCCUGCCCGGUGCCGGAAGGUUAAUUGAUGGGGUUAGCGCAAGCGAAGCUCUUGAUCGAAGCCCCGGUAAACGGCGGCCGUAACUAUAACGGUCCUAAGGUAGCGAAAUUCCUUGUCGGGUAAGUUCCGACCUGCACGAAUGGCGUAAUGAUGGCCAGGCUGUCUCCACCCGAGACUCAGUGAAAUUGAACUCGCUGUGAAGAUGCAGUGUACCCGCGGCAAGACGGAAAGACCCCGUGAACCUUUACUAUAGCUUGACACUGAACAUUGAGCCUUGAUGUGUAGGAUAGGUGGGAGGCUUUGAAGUGUGGACGCCAGUCUGCAUGGAGCCGACCUUGAAAUACCACCCUUUAAUGUUUGAUGUUCUAACGUGGACCCGUGAUCCGGGUUGCGGACAGUGUCUGGUGGGUAGUUUGACUGGGGCGGUCUCCUCCUAAAGAGUAACGGAGGAGCACGAAGGUUGGCUAAUCCUGGUCGGACAUCAGGAGGUUAGUGCAAUGGCAUAAGCCAGCUUGACUGCGAGCGUGACGGCGCGAGCAGGUGCGAAAGCAGGUCAUAGUGAUCCGGUGGUUCUGAAUGGAAGGGCCAUCGCUCAACGGAUAAAAGGUACUCCGGGGAUAACAGGCUGAUACCGCCCAAGAGUUCAUAUCGACGGCGGUGUUUGGCACCUCGAUGUCGGCUCAUCACAUCCUGGGGCUGAAGUAGGUCCCAAGGGUAUGGCUGUUCGCCAUUUAAAGUGGUACGCGAGCUGGGUUUAGAACGUCGUGAGACAGUUCGGUCCCUAUCUGCCGUGGGCGCUGGAGAACUGAGGGGGGCUGCUCCUAGUACGAGAGGACCGGAGUGGACGCAUCACUGGUGUUCGGGUUGUCAUGCCAAUGGCACUGCCCGGUAGCUAAAUGCGGAAGAGAUAAGUGCUGAAAGCAUCUAAGCACGAAACUUGCCCCGAGAUGAG